rnacentral:rRNA from 1 species
GUACCUGACUAAGAAGCCCCGGCUAACUACGUGCCAGCAGCCGCGGUAAUACGUAGGGGGCAAGCGUUAUCCGGAUUUACUGGGUGUAAAGGGAGCGUAGGCGGACGCUUAAGUCAGUUGUGAAAGUUUGCGGCUCAACCGUAAAAUUGCAGUUGAUACUGGGUGUCUUGAGUACAGUAGAGGCAGGCGGAAUUCGUGGUGUAGCGGUGAAAUGCUUAGAUAUCACGAAGAACUCCGAUUGCGAAGGCAGCUUGCUGGACUGUAACUGACGCUGAUGCUCGAAAGUGUGGGUAUCAAACAGGAUUAGAUACCCUGGUAGUCCACACAGUAAACGAUGAAUACUCGCUGUUUGCGAUAUACAGUAAGCGGCCAAGCGAAAGCGUUAAGUAUUCCACCUGGGGAGUACGCCGGCAACGGUGAAACUCAAAGGAAUUGACGGGGGCCCGCACAAGCGGAGGAACAUGUGGUUUAAUUCGAUGAUACGCGAGGAACCUUACCCGGGCUUGAAUUGCAACUGAAUGAUGUGGAGACAUGUCAGCCGCAAGGCAGUUGUGAAGGUGCUGCAUGGUUGUCGUCAGCUCGUGCCGUGAGGUGUCGGCUUAAGUGCCAUAACGAGCGCAACCCUUAUCGAUAGUUACCAUCAGGUUAUGCUGGGGACUCUGUCGAGACUGCCGUCGUAAGAUGUGAGGAAGGUGGGGAUGACGUCAAAUCAGCACGGCCCUUACGUCCGGGGCUACACACGUGUUACAAUGGGGGGUACAGAAGGCAGCUACACGGCGACGUGAUGCUAAUCCCUAAAGCCUCUCUCAGUUCGGAUUGGAGUCUGCAACCCGACUCCAUGAAGCUGGAUUCGCUAGUAAUCGCGCAUCAGCCACGGCGCGGUGAAUACGUUCCCGGGCCUUGCACUCACCGCCCGUCAAG